GCAUUGGUUCUACUUAGAACCACUAAGAUCAUGAGCUAAAAUGAA
rfam:Mus musculus chromosome 9, GRC primary reference assembly.